CAGUAGCCGCGGUAAUACGGAGGAUCCAAGCGUUAUCCGGAUUUAUUGGGUUUAAAGGGUGCGUAGGCGGCCUAUUAAGUCAGGGGUGAAAGACGGUAGCUCAACUAUCGCAGUGCCUUUGAUACUGAUGGGCUUGAAUGUACUUGAGGUAGGCGGAAUGUGACAAGUAGCGGUGAAAUGCAUAGAUAUGUCACAGAACACCAAUUGCGAAGGCAGCUUACUAAAGUAUGAUUGACGCUGAGGCACGAAAGCGUGGGGAUCAAACAGGAUUAGAUACCCCCGUAGUCCCUGUCUCUUAUAC
rnacentral:rRNA from 1 species